CCCUCCUCAAUUCCUCCGCCUCUCCUUUAUUUGCUUUCUCUCUGUCUUAAACUCUCCUUGUUCUCAGUUUCCAAAAAAAAUAAACUUUCCUUAGUUCUCAGUCAUCUUCCUCCCUCCCACAUCCUCUCUCCCUCUUCUCUUUCAUGCAACAGCGCCGCCGUCCACCGAUCACCAAUGGCCGUCAAAUUAUGCCUCCAGAAUCCUCUUCCCAUCCUCUUCUGAACCCCCCCAUUUAGUUUCUACAAAUUCGUAGCCGAAUUUCCUCAAUUUCAAAUCUAAGAAACGAUUCUUACCGCAGAUUUUCCGGCCAAUUUCUGACCAAGUCUUCCGGAAUUGGACCUCGACUGAAGAGGUAAAAAUGAUCCUUUCAUCGUGGGCUGUCCUCCAGUUUGCCGAUCCUCUUGGGACCUCAUUCGAGAUCUUUGUCAGCUUUGUUGCCGUUACAUUCAGUUGUACGCUAAUUCACUACAACACUUGUCAAUUAUUAAUAAUGCAGAAAUUAGAGAAAUUGAGGAAGAUCUGGAUUCUAACGUAAUUCUUUUAUGGAGGAUUAGUUGCAAAGAAAAGGAUUUUGAGGCUGAAAAAAGAAGUUUUGAGAGUUUAAAAAUGGUACGUAAACAUUCAAAGGAAGAUCACAAGAUAUCAACGCAAUGCCUAAGACAUGGAAGCGACACAAUUUGGAAAAUCUGGGAUAAGGGAGUUUCUGUCCAGCGACUUUGAUGGGCUGCCAGUUAUUCAUCCAGAGGAAACUCAUAGCAUACCUAUAUGGAUGCAAAGAUAUGGAAGUCUUCUUUCAAAUGGAGUUGGAAUCAUAUUAAUCCGAUAUUCCUUCAAUGAAUUAUGAUUAUCUUAGUGACUGCUAUUUGGAUUUCUAGGUUUGGUUAACUUUGCAUUUCAAGUGAUUUGAGCCAAAUUCGUGCAGUUCAUUUGAGUUUGAGAUUUAAAGCCCAACAAGUAAAUUAGUUUGACCAGUAUGAUAGAGAAAUAUGAGUUGCCUUUUUAGGCUCAAUAAUGCACUUAAUCCUCAUCAAAAUACAAGUGGAGGGUGGAGAUGAAAAGCAAAAAAUAAAAAAAUAAAAAAAAGAUUGAAUGGUUUGGUUCCAAGCGACUGUUGUUGCAAAGCAGGAGAAUAAAGGGGAGAAUGGCUGCAGACUUGAAGGGGCAGAAAAGAAAAAACACACAGAAGAGGGAGAGGAAGGCACGCAAGAGUUCGGCAGCUUGAGGCUUGAGGAGCGCAAAAUUCUCCUUCGGUUCAAGGGUUUCUCAUAUUUUUCUUAUCUUUAAUUAUGUUUUCCAUGACUAUGUGUUUCUAAAUUCUUUUGUUAAGUCUACAAUGUAGCCAUAAGAAGAAUAUUUUGUUUUUUUAGCUAUUUGAUUAUCCAAGACAAUUUUCGUUAUGUUGAAUCUCAAAUUUUGGGCUUAA